rnacentral:piRNA from 1 species
UGAGCUAUAAAAGUCUUGUCUUCCUUGCA